rnacentral:rRNA from 1 species
AUUGAACGCUGGCGGCAGGCCUAACACAUGCAAGUCGAACGGAGUGGCGGACGGGUGAGUAAUGCCUAGGAAUCUGCCUGGUAGUGGGGGAUAACGUCCGUAAACGGGCGCUAAUACCGCAUACUGUCAGCUGAGCUUAGGGCGGUUUAGCUAGGUGGUGGGGUAAAGGCCUACCAAGGCGAAGAUCCGUAACUGGUCUGAGAGGAUGAUCAGUCACACUGGAACUGAGACACGGUCCAGACUCCUACGGGAGGCAGCAGUGGGGAAUAUUGGGCAAUGGGCGAAAGCCUGAUCCAGCCAUGCCGCGUGAGUGAAGAAGGUCUUCGGAUUGUAAAGCACUUUAAGUUGGGAGGCGGUACCUACAGAAUAAGCACCGGCUAACUCCGUGCCAGCAGCCGCGGUAAUAC